GGAGAGAUGCGAGAGCGGUCGAAUCGGGCGGACUCGAAAUCCGUUGUACCGCGCAAGCGGUACCGAGGGUUCGAAUCCCUCUCUCUCCG
rnacentral:tRNA from 1 species